CUUAGAACCUUGACCACACAAAUAGAAGCAAGAACUUUAUCAUCAUCACUAUAGCAACAGCGUGGAAAUUUAUUUCAAAAUGAUUGACUACAUGAAACAGGUGGAGACCAUCAUAGGAAAUGACAACCGAACACAAUGAAGACACUAAAGGGUUGUGGGUCAUCUAGACCAAUGGAUCAAACUACAACAUUUCUCCUACAUCAAUGACUUAGGAAACAUUACGAAACAGGGUGUGGAGAAACUGUAAGAGCCAGAAUACCAGGAUGUCUAGUAUGAAAGUUUCUAUGGGAAUGGCUACAUAAAUAGUCAAUAUAUAUAUUGGAUUUUUCAAGAUAGGAUUUGUUAUAUGGCCCUGGCUGUCCCUGGAAUUCAUUCUGUGGAACAGGCUGGCCUUGAACAGAGAUCUGCCUGCCUCUGCAUCCAGCGUGCUGGGAUUAAAGCACAGGCAAAAAAGGAGAAAAGCAGAUACCAGGAGCUCACUGGCCAGCGAGUAUUGCCAAUGGAUGAGCUCCAGAUUCAACUGAGAAGCCUCAAAGGAUAAAAAGGAGAUGUAUCAAGGAAGAACCACAAACAUACAAACAGAUGCACAUGCAAGUGGAUACAAUACACACACAUAUAAAUAAAUAAAUAGAUAGAUAAUAGAUAGAUGAUAAAUAAAUAUUCUCCUAUACCAUACUUUUUUCCCCCUAGAUUCAGAGAAUGGAAAACCAUGGAAAAGGGAAGAGAUUGUAAGAGUUAGAGACAAGGAAGGACUGAAGUGAAACAUUGUCUUCUGGCCUUGA